rnacentral:rRNA from 1 species
UGGGGAAUAUUGGGCAAUGGGCGAAAGCCUGACCCAGCAACGCCGCGUGAAGGAAGAAGGCCCUCGGGUUGUAAACUUCUUUUAUGAGGGACGAAGAAGUGACGGUACCUUAUGAAUAAGCCACGGCUAACUACGUGCCAGCAGCCGCGGUAAUACGUAGGUGGCAAGCGUUAUCCGGAUUUACUGGGUGUAAAGGGCGUGUAGGCGGGAGAGCAAGUCAGGCGUGAAAUUCCAGGGCUCAACCCUGGAACUGCGUUUGAAACUGUUCUUCUUGAGUGAUGGAGAGGCAGGCGGAAUUCCGUGUGUAGCGGUGAAAUGCGUAGAUAUACGGAGGAACACCAGUGGCGAAGGCGGCCUGCUGGUCAUUAACUGACGCUGAGGCGCGAAAGCGUGGGGAGCAAACAGGAUUAGAUACCC